CAGGUAUUCAGGUUUCAUCCUACUUUCCUGGUGCAAUAUCUAUCAAUCAUGCAAAUUCAUAUUCUCUUUCCUUCUUCAGGGAACUUGGGAUUGGGAUUGUUGCUUACAGUCCUCUAGGACGAGGUUUCUUCGCAUCUGGACCCAAGCUUGUUGAGAACCUAGAAAAGGAUGACUUCAGAAAGGCAAGUACAUAGUCUUUGUGUAUGACUUGUUUGAUUGAUGAACCUUACAUAACCUGUGGAUAAAUCAAAUGACUUUAUACAAACUCAAUUAUUGCAGGCUCUACCAAGAUUCCUAGAGAAAAACUUAGACCACAACAAGAUUGUUUAUGAGAAGGUUUGUGCAAUCUCGGAAAAGAAAGGAUGCACUCCUGCACAGUUAGCUCUGGCAUGGGUUCACCACCAGGGAGAUGAUGUUUGUCCCAUCCCAGGAACCACUAAGAUCGAAAACCUCAACCAGAACAUUGGAGCUUUAUCAGUGAAACUCACUCCCGAAGAGAUGACUGAGCUUGAGGCCAUUGCCCAACCAGGUUUUGUGAAAGGGGAAAGAUACAGUAGCAUGAUACCCACUUUCAAAAACUCUGAGACACCGCCAUUGUCUUCUUGGAAAGCUGCUUAAAAUCGUCUGAGUUUGUCUGGUUGUUGUGGGGUUCAUGACACUGAAGUGGUCUAACUUAUGUCAGUCAGAUCAAGGUAAUAAAUGUGUUAAUGCCGUGAAGAAUAAAUAAUGUAUAGAGUUCCCCCAAGUGAAAACUUCAAUUUACAUUUUCAUACAUUGUAACCAAACUCUAAAAAAUAAGUAGUUAUUUUCACUUGAAGUUAUUUUCACUUGAAGUUAUUUUCGGUUUGGUUUAAUUAAACCAGGAUUCGGGUGUUAUUUUCGGUCCAACACUUAAACAAGCGAAGCGACCCAAUUGGUUGGUUAAUCAUCAUCUUCAUCGAGUCACACCCUAGUUUGCCACUAAACCGAAAAAAUGAAUCUGGCCUGCCAUUUUAUGAUCUAUAUGCCACUAUAUAUAUGUGUUAUCUCCAUUUUACCCUUAAUGAAUUAUUCCUUAUUUAAUUUUUAAAAAGCAAAAGAGAAAAUAAAAAAAAAAACAAAACUCUCAGUAUGUGGGUCCCAAAAAACGUUUAGCGUAUGAUUUUUUUUUAAUGUUGUAUUUACUCGAUAUAUGGGUCCUACUAAAAAGUUUUUUUUUUUUUUUUUUCGGCAGAAUAAUACUCAUAGUUGUCCAGUUGUACUAUCAUAAUCAUAGUUGAACUUUCCACAGUUUUCAUAAUUUGCAGUUGGACGAGACUGUAAAUUAUUUUGCAUUACCAAAGUUUUCAUAAUGGAACAUUGGUGAAAACUACAUUUUCACUUUUUUUACUUCAUAUAUGGUGAUUAUAUACUAAGUAUUCCUUAUAGUAGAAAGGAUGUUUUAUGUGAAAACAACAUUAUUUCUUAGAAGUUAUUAAUUGUAUUGAUCCGAAAUAGUUUGUUUAUAUUUUGGGGAAUUUAAUAUAUAAUUUUACGUUUAUAAUAAAUCAAAUUAUUAUAAGUUAUAAAUUAGGAUUCUAUAAAAAAAUUCUCCAAAAAAAUCUUCAAAUAUAUAUAAACUAUUUUAAAUCAAUACAACCAUAAUUUAUAAAUUUUGUAGCAAGCUUUGUUUUUUUUUUUGUUUUUUCACAUAAAACACUCCUUCUAGUAUAAGGAAGACUUAGUACAUGAUCACCUCGUAUGAAGCAAAAGAGGUAAAAACCAAAUUUUCCUGAACAUUGUAUUAUGAAAACCUCGUAUAUGCUAAUUAAUAGUGAACAAUCAUGUGUCCAACUACUAAUUAAUAAUUUAUACAAUAGUUCAACUGAAAAUACGAAAAAUUCGCCAAAGUCCAACUAUGAAUAUGAGAGUACAACUGGACAACUAUGACUAUAUCCAGCCGCCAAAUCCAAACGUGCAUUUUACUCAGGCCCACAACUGUGCACUUUAGUCGGACCUACAACUGUGCAUUUUACGACACGUAGGAUGAUUUUAAAACAUUUUAUAUUGAAACAUUUUAUAUUUUUUUUAUUUUUUUUUUCUACUUUUCUUCUUUCUCAGUUUAUCUAGUUGGACCGAAUAAUUAGAUCUCAGUUGUACCUAAUAAUUGCAGUUGUACCAAAAUAUCAUCAAAGUACAUAAACAAAAGAUAUAGUUUACCAUAUAUAAACAUCAGUUUCGUUGGAUCUGUAGUUUUCAGUUUCAGUGUCCGCUUCAUCUUCUUUCUCUCAAGUAGUGGGUUAUUGGAUUUGGGUCGAAUUAUUUUGGUUGGGUCUGUAGUUUCCAAUCAUCUAAAAGGUACAUUUCCAUCGCUUUUGAUUUUUUAAAAAAUGGUAAAUAAAAUUACAAAGAAGACGGUGGCAUUCUAGCAUUUUUUUCCGGAGAAAGUGGCUUUCUAGCCAUUGUUUCAUCUUCAUCAGAGAUCAACCCAACUUCACUCAAUGCUGAUGAUGCAGUCUCAGCUCUUAAAAAGCAUAAAUCAAAGUGAAAGAAACCAUUACCACCGUGGGUCGUUCGAUUGCAACUAAAUAAUGUGAAUCAUUUCCAGUUCAACAAUGGAAGGUCUUCGAGAAUCUGAGCAUCUCUUCGUCAAUAAGGACCUCGUCGUGCGUCUCUCUCUCUCUCUAUUCAUCUAUAUAUUUCCUUAUCUGUGUUGCAGACAUUAAACGAUAGAUAAAGGAAAUGAUGUCAUGUGAUCAUCUCAAUUUAGGAUUUUCCUGGUUUAUGUCUGCUACACUAAACCCUAAAUGAUCGAUCCUCUUCAGUAGUAGCUUAAGAAUCUCCAUGGUCAAAAAGGCUUCUUUAUUUUCUCUCACUAAUAUCAUUGUUGCUUUUUUUUUAUGGCUGGAUUAGGAAUUUUAGUUAUCAAUGGAGCAAUUGGCACAAACCCUUUUUCUGAUUUUAGUCUUUUUCACAUGACAGGAUGAUUAUGUCGAAAUUUCCGGUAAAGAUGAUACAUCAGAAAGUUCCAAUGUCAAAAGGAAAGUUGAAAGUCUCUUCUGUGUUAUGAGAAAGAGAACUUGUAGGCACAACUCUGUCGAUGAUGAUGAUAUGUUUCCGGAUUUAGAUAAUAAUGCAGAGAAAGGUGAUGGUGAUGAGGAUAUACGAAAUUGUCUGAGACCUGAAAGUGACUUCUGGUUUGAAAAUCUUACGGAUAGUCCUUAUGAUCCAUUGGAUGAAGGUACCAUUGUAGACGACAGUGGCAGUGACACAAACAUAUCUGAAUCUUCAGAAUUUGAUGUUAUAUCGGAACAUGUUCUAGAAGAAAAUGAUUUGGUAACGGGAUCGAAAUCUUUGGCUAUAUGGUCCAGUGAGGAUAAGGGAGCUCUGGUUAGUAAAUGGUCUUUAGAAACUCGGAAUUCUAUCUUGUUGUUAUCUCCUGAUGAGCAUGGUGUAAGGUCUAAAGAAGAUGAGGUGUUAUCAUCUGUUUCUGCAUCCACAAAGAAAUUACAGCAUAUCAUUGAUCCCCAAAUUAUCUCUGGACAUAGUAAUGACAUCUCUCUCUUCCAUAUAGAACGGAAAAAAGAUCGAAUAUUCUGCAUCACUGGGCAUUGUGAAGAUAUAUUGAGGUGCAGUGUCAACAAAGAAGAUUCAGAAAUCCCAUGCAAUUUUGAUAUCUUCAAGAAUGAUGGCGACAAAUCAUCUGCAAAUGAAGUUAGAUGUGGAGAUGUCAUCAACAUGCAGGGGUCUAUGGAGAUAAUGUGCAUUAAUGAUGAGCUUACACUGUGGAAUAAAGACAAUGAACCAAUACCGAUCAGCAUUGUUCCUCCUGAUGGUUGGGAAAGCGUAUUGCUAGAAACAUGUUCACUUCAUCAGAUAGACAGAUGUAUAAAUGAAUACAAUGUUCGUGAUGAUAACAUUGGCCUUGAAAUAUCUCCAAUACCUUUAACAAAAACUCUGGAAAGACCUAGUAGGCCAUUGUCAGUUUGUGGCUCUAUAGCUGCAGUCAGAAACUUACCUCUAAUGGAAGAUAGCUCAGGUGCUUGUAGUUCUUUGGAUGAACAAGUAUAUGCAAAUGCUAAUAGCUCUGAGGACAGGGACGCAGAACUUGCUCAAACCCCAUCAACUCUAUAUCAGGAAGAAGUGGAUGGAGAAGAUGAGAUUGACAUUGAUGCAAUGGUAAACCCUGAUUACUCUAUACACAAUCGUGUCACAAAUUAUCAUUCAAUGUGUUUUCUGAUCUCUGAUAUCACAUGAAAACAUCUCCAGAUCCGCAAAUUGAAUCUAGUCCCAGAUGAUUCAGAUUCAUGCUUCAACAGGGAAGGUAAACCGUAUGGCUUAUGAUGUCCAAUCAAUCAUGUAACUAAUUCACACUGUUGCAUCCAAAGAGAAUGUAAAAAAAAAAAACAGUUAUGUCUCUCUCAAACUAUAGUUGUCUCAAUUAUGGUUCGCUUCAUGAUACCUAGAAUGGAACAUAUAUAAGCACCCAAGACACGCCUUAAUUGGAUUGGAACACUGCACAAGAACUUCAUUGCAAAGAGCAAAUAUGUUUCAUGGGGCAAUUGCCAUCCUGCAUUGUCGUGAUUCAAAGCAUUUUGUCAGAAAACGCGAGGUAUGUUAGACAAAACAUUUUCUUCUGUCUUGAUGUUUUCAUGUCGUCUCAAGUCCUCUUAGUUACAUGGCAGAAGAUCAUUUAUUUGUCAUAGGUAAUUAUUGGGAGAUCAUCUGAUGGCCUGAAUGUUGACAUUGACUUGAGUAAAUAUAAUUAUGGGAGUAAGAUAUCUCGGCGUCAGGUGAUCCUCUUUCCCUUUCCCAAAUUAAAAUUAGUUCACUAGUUAAGUUCUUAAUUACCAUCUUGCUAAUGUGCUAUAUUUUCUAUCUCUAUAUUAAGGCAUUGGUUAAGCUAGAGAACAACGAAUCAUUCUCUCUAAAGAACCUUGGAAAGCGACAUAUUCUUGUAAAUGGAGAAAAACUCGAUACAGGACAGAUUGCAACCCUCACAUCGUGUAGUUCAAUCGAUGUAAGUCCGAGCUUAUGCUUUGCACUAGUGUGUUUAUGCAUCUUUCUUUAACUAGAACGCCCAAAUUUUGCAGAUUAGAGGAGUAACCUUUGUGUUCAAGAUUAACAAAGAAGCCGUGAGACAAUUCUUGAAGAACAACACACGAAGAAAGACCGAGGAAGACACCAAAUUCAGAUGGUGCGAAUAGAUUCUGUUAAAUUCUCUUUUGCUCUACCACUCUCUGCAUAGUCUUAAUGACCCAUCCACAUGAUUUAAAUGUCCAACCUGACUUAGGGUUAGGAGUUUAGACACCUAAUGCCAAUGAAUGAAUGAUCCCAUCAUAUCUGUGUUAAUGCCUUGAAGAAUAAACUUUGUAUAGAGUUUCCCAAGUGAGAACUUCAAUUAACAUUUCGUACAUUUUGACCAAUCUCUAUUAGGAAGAUUUGUUCUGUAACUCUUUCAAGCUAAAACCUUACCGUAACAAAAGCUCCCUGUUCAUCCAACUCUAUGAAAGAUCUGCUGCGACGUAUCGGUUCAAUCUCUGUUCUUGAUUUCUUCUUCCGCAUUUUCCACUUCUUCCCAAUCGAUUUUCCUGUAACCAUGUUUCCUCUGUCAGCUUCUAUUCAAUUACUUAUGCUUCUUCUAUUACCAAUUUAGAGUCUCAACAGUGAAGAUCAGCUUCUUCUCUAAUCUCUAUCAACUUCUACUCAAUAACUUGUGCUUCUCUUACCAGUUUUUAGAGUCUCAGUGGUAGUAGUUAAUCCAUCAUCUUAUUUUCCGUUUGAUUAAACUUGAUUGGUAUACUUUGGUUUAAGAGUGUUGGUUUAGUUAAACCAGGAUUUGAGUUCAAUCAUCAUCAUCAUCAUCAUCAUCAUCAUCAGUCAAAUCAAAACUCUACGAGAGAGAGAGAGAGACUGAGAAAUUCAUGGCGGAAGCUUGCAGAGUGCGGAGGAUGAAGCUAGGAAGCCAAGGCCUCGAGGUAUCGGCGCAAGGCCUUGGUUGCAUGGGCCUCACCGGUCAUUACGGUGCUUCCAAGCCGGAAACUGAAGCCAUCGCUCUCAUCCACCACGCUAUUAACUCCGGCGUUACUUUCCUUGACACCUCUGACAUGUAUGGUCCUGAAACUAAUGAAAUUCUCCUUGGAAAGGUUCGAUUUUGUUAGUAUCUGAUAUUUCAUUUCGUUCUCUGCUGGGAAAACUUAGAGAUGGGAAUUAGCCUUGAUUUGUUUGAGCUUCAUAGCUUUAGAAAUGAUUGGUCACUUGUUGAAACUUCGAAUUCUGUUAGGCUCUUAAGGAUGGUGUGAGGGAGAAAGUGGAGCUUGCGACCAAAUUUGGAAUUAGCUAUGCAGAGGGAAAGAGGGAAAUUAAGGGAGAUCCUGCCUAUGUUAGAGCUGCUUGUGAGGCUAGUUUGAAGCGGCUAGAUGUUUCCUGUAUUGAUCUUUAUUAUCAGCAUCGGAUCGAUACCCGUGUCCCUAUCGAAAUCACUGUAAGCCCUCCUCUUACUUUCAAUUGAAAUGGACGUUACUUAUACUUCAGGUGGGCUUGAGUGUGUCUCAGUAAGCUUCACAUCUUUGGAUUGGUAUAUGUUUUGAGAUGAUGUUUUCUGCUUAGGUUACUCUUUUAGAAAUUGCUAGCUUAUUCAUAUAGAACCGACUUCUGGUGAAAGUAUCUCUCAUCUACCACUUAAAAGCCACCUUGUGAGGAUAGGGUGCCCUUUAGAGUUUAGACUUAUAAGCCAUUUACUUAGACACUUUUCCUUCCAAUGUGGGAUCUUAUCAUCUCCCUUAAUGAUUGUUCGUUUAAAUAGAAGAUCCUCUCUAGUUCGAUUGCCAUACUUCCUGACCUUUAUAUAGAAAGCUGUUUUGCUGAACUUAACAAAUGUUUUGUCUGUCAAUUCCAAGAUGGGAGAACUAAAGAAGCUGGUUGAAGAGGGUAAAAUAAAGUACAUCGGUUUGUCUGAGGCCUCUGGCUCGACUAUCAGAAGAGCGCAUGCUGUUCACCCAAUUACUGCCGUGCAGUUAGAGUGGUCCCUGUGGACGAGAGACGUGGAAGAAGAAAUCGUCCCAACCUGUAGGUAUGCAGAUUUCAUCCUCCUUUCAUGAUGCAUUAAUUCAUCAAUCAUGUAACGUCUUGUCUUCUUUCUUCAGGGAACUUGGGAUUGGGAUUGUUUCUUACAGUCCUCUUGGACGAGGUUUCUUUGCAUCGGGACCCAAGCUUGUUGAGAACCUAGUCAAUAAUGACUUCAGAAAGGCAAGUACACAGCCUUUUUAUGACUUAUUUGAUUGAUUAACCUUAAAGAAGCGGUGGAUAAAUCAAAUGACUUUAUAUAAAACUCAAUUAUUGCAGGCUCUACCAAGAUUCCAACAGGAAAACUUAGACCACAACAAGAUUCUCUACGAGAAGGUUUGUGCAAUAUCAAAGAAGAAAGGAUGCAGUCCCGGACAACUAGCCCUCGCAUGGGUUCACCACCAGGGAGAUGAUGUUUGCCCCAUCCCAGGAACCACUAAGAUUGAAAACCUCAACCAGAACAUUGGAGCUUUAUCAGUGAAACUCACUCCUGAAGAGAUGUCUGAGCUCGAGACCAUUGCCCAACCAGAGUCUGUGAAAGGAGAAAGAUACAUGGCAACAGUGCCAACCUUCAAAAACUCUGACACUCCACCGUUGUCUUCUUGGAAUGCUGUGUAAAACUGUCUCAGAGUUUUCUCUGGCCAAACCGAUUGUUUAAAGAGUUUAAAUGUGGUUCUGGCCAAAGGAUGAUUUAUGUACCCAUCUUAUAUACUGUGACUAGUCUUACAAUAACUCUUACAAGCUAAAGGCUUACCAAAACAAAGGUUAUCUGUUCAAUCUCCUCUGCUCUGAUUUCUUCUUCCGCAUUUUCCACUUCGCCUUUACCAAUUUUUCUAUACCCAUGUUUCCUCUACCAGCUUCAAUCCAAUUACUUAUGCUUCCCUAGCUACCAAUUAAUCAGCUUCUUCUCUUUGAACUUCUAGUCAACAACUUCUAUAGUAAAAACAUCAUUGUUAUUUUCGGUUUUGGUUAAUUAUGCACUUCAUCAUCAACUUGAAGUUCAACAACUCUGCUCGCGCGAGGGAGAUGAAUCCAUGGCAACUUGCGGAAUGAGGAGGAUAAAGCUGGGAAGUCAAGGCCUUGAGGUAUCGGCGCAAGGCUUUGGUUGCGCUCACUACGGUCCUUCAAAGCCGGAAACUGACGACAUUGCUCUCCUCCAUCACGCUAAUAUCUCCGGUCCUCACACCAAUGAAUUGCUCCUCGCCAAGGUUUUGAUUUCGAUCAGUUUCGAGAGAUUGUUAGAGAUGUUUGGGGUUUGUGUGUUCUCAUUUGGUCGAAUCCCAAACAACAAAAACUUGGCAUUGAUUCUUUUCAUGAAUUUCAUAUUUGUAGUAUGUAGAGAUGAUGAUUACAUUGUUGAAUUUGUUUAACUCUGCCAGGCUUUGAAGGAUGGUAUGAGGGAGAAAGUAGUGCUUGCUACCAAAUUUGGAUGCAUUUUGGUUAAGGGAAAGAGAGAUGUUAGAGGAGAUCCUGAGUAUGUUAGAGCUGCGUGUGAGGCUAGUUUAAAGCGGCUAGAUGUUUCCUGCAUUGAUCUUUAUUAUCAACAUCGGGUCGAUGCGCGCGUCCCUAUUGAAAUCACCGUAAGCCCUCCUCUUGCAAAUCCUCAUCCAUGCCAUUGUUUCAAAGUUUUCAAGUCAGUUCGUCUUAGUCUUGGGAAAUGAUUGAACUAAUAGGCUCUCUGACAGUAGAUUGGAGGCGAUGAUAUUCGCUUGCGUCACUUUAAGUGAACAUUGGAGCUUUAUCAGUGAAACUCACUCCAGAAGAGAUUUCUGAGCUCGAGACCAUUUCCCAACCAGAGUCUGUGAAAGGAGAAAGAUACAUGGCCACAGUGCCAACCUUCAAGAACUCCGACACACCACCGUUGU
rnacentral:lncRNA from 1 species